rnacentral:rRNA from 1 species
AUGGUUAAGUGACUAAGCGUACACGGUGGAUGCCUUGGCAGUCAGAGGCGAUGAAAGACGUAAUAACUUGCGAUAAGCCCAGAUUAGGUAGUAAUAACCUUUUGAGUCUGGGAUUUCUGAAUGGGGAAACCCACGUGCAUAAGCACGUAUCCUGUUGUGAAUACAUAGCAACAGGAGGCAAACCGGGGGAACUGAAACAUCUAAGUACCCCGAGGAAGAGAAAUCAACCGAGAUUCCGAAAGUAGCGGCGAGCGAAAUUGGAUUAGCCCUUAAGCUUUUAAUGAUGCAGGUGAAGAGUCUGGAAAGUCUCGCAAUAAAGGGUGAUAGCCCCGUAACCGACACAUCAUAAUCAGUGAAAUCGAGUAGGGCGGGACACGUGAUAUCCUGUCUGAAUAUGGGGGGACCAUCCUCCAAGGCUAAAUACUACUGACUGACCGAUAGUGAACCAGUACCGUGAGGGAAAGGCGAAAAGAACCCCUGUGAGGGGAGUGAAAUAGAACCUGAAACCGUGUACGUACAAGCAGUAGGAGCACCUUCGUGGUGUGACUGCGUACCUUUUUGUAUAAUGGGUCAGCGACUUAAUUUUAGUA